rnacentral:misc_RNA from 1 species
AACUUUUAACAAUGGAUCUCUUGGUUCUGGCAUCGAUGAAGAACGCAGCGAAAUGCGAUAAGUAAUGCGAAUUGCAGAAUUCGAGUGAGUCAUCGAAUCUUUGAACGCCCAUUGCGCCCUUUGGUAUUCCGAAGGGCAUGCCUGUUCGAGCGUCAUUAUCACCCCUCAAGCCCCGCGCUUGGUGUUGGACGGCCGGUCGAGCGAUCGACCCCUCCUAAAGACAAUGACGGCGGCCUGCGGUUCCCCCGGUACACUGAGCUUUUAACUGAGCACUUACCGGACCAGGGCACCCGGGACCCGGUCCCCUCCUUUAACUAGGAAACUUCUAAGGUUGACCUCGGAUCAGGUAGGAAUACGCGCUGAACUUAAGCAUAUCAAUAAGCGGAGGCU